CCAGACUCCUACGGGAGGCAGCAGUGGGGAAUAUUGGGCAAUGGGCGCAAGCCUGACCCAGCAACGCCGCGUGAAGGAAGAAGGCCCUCGGGUUGUAAACUUCUUUUAUUCGGGACGAAACAAAUGACGGUACCCAAGGAAUAAGCCCCGGCUAACUACGUGCCAGCAGCCGCGGUAAUACGUAGGGGGCAAGCGUUGUUCGGAAUGACUGGGCGUAAAGGGUGUGUAGGCGGUGUAGCAAGUUAGAAGUGAAAUACCUAGAGCUUAACUCAGGUGCUGCUUCUAAAACUGCUAUACUUGAGUACAGUAGAGGAAAGUGGAAUUCCUAGUGUAGCGGUGGAAUGCGUAGAUAUUAGGAGGAACAUCAGUGGCGAAGGCGACUUUCUGGACUGUAACUGACGCUGAGGCACGAAAGUGUGGGGAGCAAACAGGAUUAGAUACCCUGGUAUCG
rnacentral:rRNA from 1 species